UGCACGCUCCUUAGAUCCGUUCCACCUUCAAUGUGAAACGCUUGAGUCAUAAGUGUGCUACAACAUGAUACCUCCAAGCUAAGACUGAGAUGAGAUUUUUUUCUUAAAUUUCUCUUGUCUUGGAAUGGGGAACAU